rnacentral:lncRNA from 1 species
AUUUUUUUCUCAACCUGACUUCCAAGUAUAAAUCUGAGAAGUGGAUUCAGUCAUGACUCAAAAUUCCAUAUGUCUGUUUUUUGAAAUUUGUUGAGAUUACUUGUGAGCUAGUACAUGAUCAAUGUGUACUUGAAAAGAAUAUGUUUUAUCUUGUGUGUAUGAUUUUUAUGAUUUAUCUUUAGAUCAAUAUUAUUGACCUACAGCCAGUCCAGAUAUAACAUAAAGCAGAAAAAUUAUAAAAUUCCACAUUAUCAAGAGUAAACAGGAAAGUUAAGACUGUGGGGCUAGACAAAAUUUGUUUCAGAUUUCAGAGGA